rnacentral:rRNA from 1 species
UUGAACGCUGGCGGCAGGCUUAACACAUGCAAGUCGAACGAUGACUCUCUAGCUUGCUAGAGAUGAUUAGUGGCGGACGGGUGAGUAACAUUUAGGAAUCUGCCUAGUAGUGGGGGAUAGCUCGGGGAAACUCGAAUUAAUACCGCAUACGACCUACGGGUGAAAGGGGGCGCAAGCUCUUGCUAUUAGAUGAGCCUAAAUCAGAUUAGCUAGUUGGUGGGGUAAAGGCCCACCAAGGCGACGAUCUGUAACUGGUCUGAGAGGAUGAUCAGUCACACCGGAACUGAGACACGGUCCGGACUCCUACGGGAGGCAGCAGUGGGGAAUAUUGGACAAUGGGGGCAACCCUGAUCCAGCCAUGCCGCGUGUGUGAAGAAGGCCUUUUGGUUGUAAAGCACUUUAAGCAGGGAGGAGAGGCUAAUGGUUAAUACCCAUUAGAUUAGACGUUACCUGCAGAAUAAGCACCGGCUAACUCUGU